CCUUUCCGGCGGUGACGACCUCCCCACGAGAACAUGCCUGUGAGUUCCUUGGUCCAGGUUUCAGCGGAGAUCUCGCUCUUCUGUCCGCACGCUCCCCUCACGCUGAUUUCGCCUCGUAGAGGGUCCUCAGUAACCCUCUGCACUUCUUAGGACCUUAACUCCAGGGACCGCAGCGGCCCACGGGCCACCCGCAUAGACGGGAGCGGAGAGGAGAUAAGAUGGCGGCCCAGCUACGCAGACACCAGGGGCGGCGAGGGGCGAGUUCUCCCCGCUCGCAAAGGAUCUCCUUCAUCCCUCUCCGGAAGAGGAGAAGCGGAAACACAAGAAGAAGCGCCUGGUGCAGAGCCCCAACUCCUAUUUCAUGGACGUGAAAUGCCCAGGAUGCUACAAAAUCACCACAGUUUUUAGCCAUGCACAAACAGUAGUUUUGUGUGUUGGCUGCUCCACUGUCCUCUGCCAGCCUACGGGAGGAAAAGCAAGGCUUACAGAAGGAUGUUCCUUCAGGAGGAAGCAGCACUAAAAGCAGCCUGAAUCAAGAUGAGUGGGAAAACAUCCCAAUAAACACAUUUUGGAUAUAUCCUGUUUAUUGUCUUGUUUAACUGCUAGGAAGUUCCUGCCUCAAGUAUUCAGGGGCAUCCAGAAGAGUGGAAUGCUAGAGUCAUUUGGGGCAAUUUGUGAAAUAAAAUGAAGGCAGUUUCCAAGUCAAAGUCCACGGUGCUGAAUAUAAGGACUCCUUACCUAGAAAGAUGAAAGCUGUUGAUGCCAACACCGCAAAGAGGGUAAAGAGGAGGAUCUGGUAAGAACCAAUGAACUGCUUGAAGACUCCUGAACCUUCACACUGAUCUGUGCAUUGGCCAUAACAAGAUAAUAGUUAGACACAUCCAGGGCAGAUGCUGCAUUGAAGACAGGGUCUUAAAGAGUAUCCAGCAGAAGCACUCAAAACCCAGCCCUUUUAUGAAACUUGAGGUGUGAACUCGUUCCUUCACCUCUUUUUAGCUUCUCAUAUCUCCAAAUAAUAAAAUCUUCAAAUUUAAAUGUUA